rnacentral:rRNA from 1 species
GACAGAGGGUGCAAACGUUGCUCGGAAUCACUGGGCGUAAAGGGCGUGUAGGCGGGAAGGAAAGUCAGAUGUGAAAUCCCUGGGCUCAACCCAGGAACUGCAUUUGAAACUCCCCUUCUUGAGUACCGGAGAGGAAAGUGGAAUUCCUGGUGUAGAGGUGAAAUUCGUAGAUAUCAGGAGGAACACCAGUGGCGAAGGCGGCUUUCUGGACGGUAACUGACGCUGAGACGCGAAAGCGUGGGGAGCAAACAGG